UGGGGAAUAUUGCACAAUGGGGGAAACCCUGAUGCAGCGACGCCGCGUGAGCGAAGAAGGUUUUCGAAUCGUAAAGCUCUGUCCUAUGGGAAGAUAAUGACGGUACCAUAGGAGGAAGCCCCGGCUAACUACGUGCCAGCAGCCGCGGUAAUACGUAGGGGGCAAGCGUUGUCCGGAAUCACUGGGCGUAAAGGGUUCGCAGGCGGAAAUGCAAGUCAGUUGUGAAAGGCAGAGGCUCAACCUCUGUAAGCAAUUGAAACUGUAUUUCUUGAGAUGUGGAGAGGUAAGUGGAAUUUUUAGUGUAGCGGUGAAAUGCGUAGAUAUUAAAAAGAAUACCGGUGGCGAAGGCGACUUACUGGGCUCAUUCUGACGCUGAGGAACGAAAGCGUGGGUAGCAAACAGG
rnacentral:rRNA from 1 species